AGAACUGGGGUGGUUUCCUUCUUCUCUUGUCUCCAUUGGUCUUCAUGCGGAUCACCGCUUUUUCGAUACAGACCUUGGUGUCACUCCAAAUCUUCAAAAAAUCUCUAAAGGAAGAGUCUACUUCUUUACCACAUUCAGUUUUUCAGGAUCCAUCUGUAAUCCAGCAUCUGAGAUGAUGUAUCUGAGAAAUGGUACUGUCGUUCUUUCAAAGGUGCAUUUCUCGAGUUUGGCAUAGAGUCUAUUUUC